rnacentral:misc_RNA from 1 species
GUGAAUCAUCAAAUCUUUGAACGCAAAUUGCACUCUCUGGUAUUCCGGAGAGUAUGCCUGUUUGAGGGUCAGUUUAAAUAAAAAUCGGUGUGGCUGCUGCCUUUCGUGGUGACGCACCGGAUUUGGGUCGUCUUGCCUUCGGUUAAGUGACCUAAAAUUUUGCAUGAUUUUUUUGGAAGGAAUUUAAUUAAUUUACGGAACUUUUCGAUAUCGAAU